AGAGUUUGAUCAUGGCUCAGGAUGAACGCUGGCGGCGUGCCUAACACAUGCAAGUCGAGCGAGAAACUUAUGUGAUGCGAUUUCGAUCACAUCUUUUAAGUGGAAAGCGGCGGACGGGUGAGUAACGCGUAGGCAACCUGCCCUUAGCAGGGGGAUAGCCAUUGGAAACGAUGAUUAAAACCCCAUAAUACGGAUAUAUCACAUGUUAAAUCCGUCAAAGAUUUAUCGGCUAAGGAUGGGCCUGCGUCUGAUUAGCUAGUUGGUGAGGUAACGGCUCACCAAGGCAACGAUCAGUAGCCGACCUGAGAGGGUGAUCGGCCACAUUGGAACUGAGACACGGUCCAAACUCCUACGGGAGGCAGCGGUGGGGAAUAUCCACCACGGGCGAAAGCCUGAUGCAGCAACGCCGCGUGAAGGAUGAAGGUCUUCGGAUCGUAAACUUCUGUCCUUGGGGAAGAAGAAGUGACGGUACCCAUGGAGGAAGCCCCGGCUAACUACGUGCCAGCAGCCGCGGUAAUACGUAGGGGCGAGCGUUAUCCGGAAUUAUUGGGCGUAAAGAGUGCGUAGUGGCUACCUAAGCGAGAGGUUUAAGGCUACGGCUUACCGUAGUUCGCCUCCCGAACUGGGUGGCUUGAGUGCAGG
rnacentral:rRNA from 1 species